GAAACGGUAAUUCUUGGUGCAUAAAGGAAGGGACCACUGGUCGGUGCUGACGCAAUGUGAUUUCUGCCCAGUGCUCUGAAUGUCAACGUAAAGAAAUUCAAAAAAGCGCGGAAAAACGGCGAGAGUAACUAUGACUCCUUAUGACUCUCCUGGCGGGAGUAAC
rnacentral:rRNA from 1 species